CAAGUCGGACGGGAUUUAGGAGCUUGCUUCUAAUGAGAGUGGCGCACGGGUGCGUAACACGUAUGUAACCUACCCUUGUCAGGGGGAUAGCCUCAUCGAAAGAGAGAUUAAGCCCGCAUAACAUUAAGACACAGCAUUGUGAUUUAAUCAAAUAUUUAUAGGACAAGGAUGGGCAUGCGGAACAUUAGCUAGUUGGUAAGGUAACGGCUUACCAAGGCUACGAUGUUUAGGGGAUCUGAGAGGAUGGCCCCCCACACUGGUACUGAGACACGGACCAGACUCCUACGGGAGGCAGCAGUAAGGAAUAUUGGUCAAUGGGCGGAAGCCUGAACCAGCCAUGCCGCGUGCAGGAAGACGGCCCUACGGGUUGUAAACUGCUUUUGCAGGGGAAUAAACCCCCGUAUGUAUACGGGGCUGAAUGUACUCUGAGAAUAAGGAUCGGCUAACUCCGUGCCAGCAGCCGCGGUAAUACGGAGGAUCCAAGCGUUAUCCGGAUUUAUUGGGUUUAAAGGGUGCGUAGGCGGCCUAUUAAGUCAGGGGUGAAAGACGGUAGCUUAACUAUCGCAGUGCCUUUGAUACUGAUGAGCUUGAAUGUAGUUGAGGUAGGCGGAAUGUGACAAGUAGCGGUGAAAUGCAUAGAUAUGUCACAGAACACCAAUUGCGAAGGCAGCUUACUAAAGUAUGAUUGACGCUGAGGCACGAGAGCGUGGGGAUCAAACAGGAUUAGAUACCCUGGUAGUCCACGCCCUAAACGAUGAAUACUCGAUGUUGGCGAUAUACAGUCAGCGUCAAAGCGAAAGCGUUAAGUAUUCCACCUGGGGAGUACGCCCGCAAGGGUGAAACUCAAAGGAAUUGACGGGGGCCCGCACAAGCGGAGGAGCAUGUGGUUUAAUUCGAUGAUAC
rnacentral:rRNA from 1 species